rnacentral:tRNA from 1 species
AGGGGUGUAGUACAAAGGCAGUAUAACGGUCUCCAAAACCGCUGAUACGGGUUCGAUUCCUGUCACCCCUGCCA